GUGCUGUAUGAAAGGAGACAAGGUCAGCACUCCUUUGAUAAGGAUGUG
rnacentral:sRNA from 1 species